UACAGAGGAUGCAAGCGUUAUCCGGAAUGAUUGGGCGUAAAGCGUCUGUAGGUGGCUUUUUAAGUCCGCCGUCAAAUCCCAGGGCUCAACUCUGGACAGGCGGUGGAAACUACCAAGCUGGAGUACGGUAGGGGCAGAUGGAACUUCCGGUGGAGCGGUGAAAUGCGUAGAUAUCGGAAGGAACGCCGGUGGCGAAAGCGAUCUGCUGGACCCUUUCUGACGCUGAGGCGCGAAAGCGUGGGGAGCAAGACGG
rnacentral:rRNA from 1 species